rnacentral:rRNA from 1 species
GACGAACGCUGGCGGCGUGCUUAACACAUGCAAGUCGAACGGAAAGGCCCUGCUUUUGUGGGGUGCUCGAGUGGCGAACGGGUGAGUAACACGUGAGUAACCUGCCCUUGACUUUGGGAUAACUUCAGGAAACUGGGGCUAAUACCGGAUAGGAGCUCCUGCUGCAUGGUGGGGGUUGGAAAGUUUCGGCGGUUGGGGAUGGACUCGCGGCUUAUCAGCUUGUGGGUGGGGUAGUGGCUUACCAAGGCUUUGACGGGUAGCCGGCCUGAGAGGGUGACCGGCCACAUUGGGACUGAGAUUCGGCCCAGACUCCUACGGGAGGCAGCAGUGGGGAAUAUUGCACAAUGGGCGGAAGCCUGAUGCAGCAACGCCGCGUGCGGGAUGACGGCCUUCGGGUUGUAAACCGCUUUCGCCUGUGACGAAGCGUGAGUGACGGUAAUGGGUAAAGAAGCACCGGCUAACUACGUG